rnacentral:tRNA from 1 species
GGGGCUGUAGCUCAGUUGGUUAGAGCACACGACUCAUAAUCGUUUGGCCGAAGGUUCAAGUCCUUCCAGCCCUA